rnacentral:rRNA from 2 species
AAAUUGAAGAGUUUGAUCAUGGCUCAGAUUGAACGCUGGCGGCAGGCCUAACACAUGCAAGUCGAACGGUAACAGGAAGCAGCUUGCUGUUUUGCUGACGAGUGGCGGACGGGUGAGUAAUGUCUGGGAAACUGCCUGAUGGAGGGGGAUAACUACUGGAAACGGUGGCUAAUACCGCAUAACGUCGCAAGACCAAAGAGGGGGACCUUCGGGCCUCUUGCCAU